UACCUUCGGUGCCCGAGUUGUAAUUUGGAGAGGGCAACUUUGGGGCCGUUCCUUGUCUAUGUUCCUUGGAACAGGACGUCAUAGAGGGUGAGAAUCCCGUGUGGCGAGGAGUGCGGUUCUUUGUAAAGUGCCUUCGAAGAGUCGAGUUGUUUGGGAAUGCAGCUCUAAGUGGGUGGUAAAUUCCAUCUAAAGCUAAAUAUUGGCGAGAGACCGAUAGCGAACAAGUACAGUGAUGGAAAGAUGAAAAGAACUUUGAAAAGAGAGUGAAAAAGUACGUGAAAUUGUUGAAAGGGAAGGGCAUUUGAUCAGACAUGGUGUUUUGUGCCCUCUGCUCCUUGUGGGUAGGGGAAUCUCGCAUUUCACUGGGCCAGCAUCAGUUUUGGUGGCAGGAUAAAUCCAUAGGAAUGUAGCUUGCCUCGGUAAGUAUUAUAGCCUGUGGGAAUACUGCCAGCUGGGACUGAGGACUGCGACGUAAGUCAAGGAUGCUGGCAUAAUGGUUAUAUGCC
rnacentral:rRNA from 1 species